rnacentral:rRNA from 1 species
CAGUCGCCACGGGAAAACGUAGGGUGCAAGCGUUAAUCGGAAUUAUUGGGCGUAAAGCGAGUGCAGACGGACAUAUAAGUCCAUCUUAAAAGUGCGGGGCUCAACCCCGUGAGGGGAUGGAAACUGUAUGCCUUGAGUGCAGGAGAGGAAAGCGGAAUUCCCAGUGUAGCGGUGAAAUGCGUAGAUAUUGGGAGGAACACCAGUGGCGAAGGCGGCUUUCUGGACUGCAACCGACGCUGAGGCACGAAAGCGUGGGGAGCAAACAGGAUUAGAUACCCCCGUAGUCCCUGUCUCUUAUACA